rnacentral:rRNA from 1 species
GAUGAACGCUGGCGGCGUGCCUAAUACAUGCAAGUCGAGCGAACAGACGAGGAGCUUGCUCCUCUGACGUUAGCGGCGGACGGGUGAGUAACACGUGGAUAACCUACCUAUAAGACUGGGAUAACUUCGGGAAACCGGAGCUAAUACCGGAUAAUAUAUUGAACCGCAUGGUUCAAUAGUGAAAGACGGUUUUGCUGUCACUUAUAGAUGGAUCCGCGCCGCAUUAGCUAGUUGGUAAGGUAACGGCUUACCAAGGCAACGAUGCGUAGCCGACCUGAGAGGGUGAUCGGCCACGGUGAAAAGGGGACGCGGUCCAGACUGCAAGGGGAGGAAGCCGUAGGGAUUCUGCCGCAUAGGACGAAGGCCUAAAGGGGCAACGCCGCGUGAGUGAUGAAGGUCUUCCGAUCGUAAAACUCUGUUAUUAGGGAAGAACAAAUGUGUAAGUAACUAAGCACGUUUAGACGGUACCUAAUGAGAAAGCCGCGGCGACCUACG